UACGUAGGGCGCAAGCGUUAUCCGGAAUUAUUGGGCGUAAAGAGCUCGUAGGCGGUUUGUCGCGUCUGCCGUGAAAGUCCGGGGCUCAACUCCGGAUCUGCGGUGGGUACGGGCAGACUAGAGUGAUGUAGGGGAGACUGGAAUUCCUGGUGUAGCGGUGAAAUGCGCAGAUAUCAGGAGAAACACCGAUGGCGAAGGCAGGUCUCUGGGCAUUAACUGACGCUGAGGAGCGAAAGCAUGGGGAGCGAACAGG
rnacentral:rRNA from 1 species